rnacentral:rRNA from 1 species
CCUACGGGAGGCAGCAGUAGGGAAUCUUCCGUAAUGGACGAAAGUCUGAUGGAGCAACGCCGCGUGAGCGAAGAAGGUCUUCGGAUCGUAAAGCUCUGUUGUAAGGGAAGAACAAGUGCAGUAGUAACUGGCUGCACCUUGACGGUACCUUACUAGAAAGCCACGGCUAACUACGUGCCAGCAGCCGCGGUAAUUACUGGGCGUAAAGAGCGUGUAGGCGGU